GGCCAGCAUGGGAAUAAAAACCUUCAAAGGUAAUAAUUAUUUAAAACGUCAAAUUUUGCAAUCUUUUGCUUUGUCCAAAGAAAGAAAAUAUGGAGAGCAAGCUGGGGGAGAGAACGACGGUGUUUCGUAAUUUUUAAUUUGAUUAUAUUAUGGAGUUUUUAAUUAUGGCUCAUUUGAGGAUAUUUCAAUUUAUAAUUAAUCCUUAAAGACUCGUUUUUUUUUCUCCAUAUUUCUGCAAAGUGGAGAUAGAUUUUGGAAUAUUUUUAUUUAUUUAUUUAUCUUUGGAUAUUUAGGAUCAGAGCAGAGUGUCAUGUAUUGGGAAUGUAGAGAGGGGGCGAGGUAGAGAGGAGAGAGAGAGAGAGAGAGUGAGAGAGAGAGGGGAGAGAGAGGGAGAGAAAGGUGAAAAGAGAGAUGGGAAAUGUGAUAAAUAGAAAUAGUGAAGAAAUGAUGGAGAGGAGGGGAGAAGAAAGAGCGAUAGGGAGGAAAGAGAGGUAUGAGAAUGUGAGAGAAAGGAAGAGAUAGGGAGAAGGGAAAAGAGACAAAGAGAAAGGAGUGAGAGAGAGAAGAGAGAGGAGACAUAGUGAGAGAGGAAGAGAGGGGGAAGAGUGAGAUACUGAGAGAGGAAGAUGAGGAUAGAGAUAGAAACGAAGAGAGAGAGAGAGAGACUAGAGAGAAAAGAGAGAGAAGGAAAAAACAGAGGUGAGAGAAAGAAAAGCAAGAGAAAGAGGGAAAGAAAAGAGAGAGAGGAGAAUCAGAGAGAUGAGAGAAACAAAUGAAAGAGAGAGAGAGAGAGGGGGAAAGAAAGAGAAAGAGGGUGAAGAAAAAAGGGAGAUAAAAAAACAAAAGAGAGAUGGAGGGAGAGGGACAGAGAGAAAAGAAAGAGAAAGAAAGUAAAGAAAAUAAAGAGAGAGAGAAAGAGAGAGGAAGUAGGAAAGAGCCACGGCGAUUUGUUUCAGGAAAAUUAUGACGUAAUUUGGAAAGAUGGCCAUUAAAAUAAUUUUAAUGGUCAGCGAAUUAAUGACGUAAUUUUAAAGAGAAUAAAUGGCAAAUUACGAAGGGAGAUAAACCAUUAGAGCUACACGGUACAUCGCUGUUGUUAUUGUUAUGACCUUUUAUAAAUAAGGGUAGUAGUUGUCAUAUAAACUGGGGUGUUUUUAUUUGUUUUUUUUGUCAUUCCUGGAUCUUCGGAUUUUCGGUUUCUGCUUCUGUUGGUAUUCAAUGUCUGUAGAUUUGCCAGUAUUUUGUCUGUGAAACUGGUAUUGGUUCACAGUUGAAGAUUUUAACGAAACACACACAUUUAAGCAUUAUCAAAUCUCACUGUGGGUUUAAUAAUGUAAACACAUACUUUCUAAACUAUUGAAGUGUGGAAGAAAGAGGGACAGGGAUAUCGUAAUGGUUGUUUAAUAUUCCUCAAGCAAGACAUAGACAUACCCAUCUUCUUUCAACAAUCAGUUGUAUAGACCAGCUGCUUAUAAAGCAGUCAAAAAUUAGGCUAGCGCAGUAGUGGAUAGCUUAUUUUACAUCAUUAAUUAAUCAAUAUCUUAUCAAAGCUCUGGAGGAUUUGAAUUCAGAACGCAAAGGGACAUAACUAAAUGCCAAAAGGCAUUUAGUCAGCUGACAACUAAUCACAACAGUCAUAUACGAUCACUACAUCAACGUCAAAAGUCACAAUCAUGACGACGACAGCGAGUAGCAGCAACAGCACCACCACCACCACCACCACCACCACCACCACCACCACCACCACCAUCAUCAUCGUCACCGCUACCACUGCCGCCGCCGCCGUCACCACCAAUACAACAAUAGGUGUUAUCUUCAGAAUCCUUUAUGAAAAAAUGCCAGAGAUUUAACAAAUUGUUGCUUUUUAUUGUACAUUGUGUGUGUAUAUGUGUGUGUGUGUGUGUGUGUGUGUGUGUGUGUGUGUGUGUGUGUGUGUAUGUGUGUGCCCGAUUAUGCGUGCGCAUAUAUUUAUGUUAUAUGUCUCCGUCUGCGUGCGUAUAAGUGUUGCGAGCUGUCAGUUCGUCUCCUGAGCGUGUAUGAGUGUGUGUGUAUGUAUGUUUUAAGCGUAUCUUUGUCAGCUCAUAUGUAUGAUUGUUUGCGCCAUGCGUUUGUGCAAGUGUUCGUUUAGAAGCUCGCAUGCGCGUGUGUGUACGUGUGUCGGAUUCAGAAUAUCUGUUGUUGCUUACCUGUUUAUGAAUGUGUAUACUUAUAUCAGUUUACGUAUGCAUACUGGCAGUUUGUGCUUGUUUACGAACACUUUUUUAUGUAUGUGUAUUCUAAUAGAUUUGUGCGUAUGUGUAUACAUACAUGUAAUAUAUAUAUAUAUAUAUAUAUGUGUAUAUAUAUAUGCAUAUGUGUAUACAUAUGUUUAUAUAUGAGUGUGUAGGUUUAUGUGUGUGUUUAUUUGUGUUUACUUAUAUAUGUGUGUAUAUGUGUGUGUGUGUGUGUGUGUAUGCGUGUUUCUAAAUUUUACUCAGGAGAUAAGGUCAGAAAAAGUGUU
rnacentral:lncRNA from 1 species